AAAGGAAUGAAUCAAUCAAAAGGAACGUAUCAAUUGUGUUCGUAACAAGUAUUUGGUAACAGAACAAAAUCACCGGGGAGUAAUCAAUCACGGAUGAGUCAUAUCACCAUCUUUCCUUGUUGGUACAGAUCUCCCUCUCCUAAGCAAUCCAUGGGCCCUUGCCGAAAACGUACUCUCACCUGAUCCGAACUUAAAAGGACCUAGCUCCUCGUUCACCAAUCCAUUGGCCUUUCUUUUAUUUGUACGGAGUAGUAGCUAGAGAAAACAAUUUUUCUUUUUUGCAGAACAUGUGGCGGCGGACGAACGAGGGCAGCUACGGUGGACGAACUAAGGGAGCGGUGACGGCAUAUGUGAGCCCUCAUCUCCUUUCGGUUCCAGAUCCAUGGCAGUAGUGACGGUCCUCCUCGUCCUCAUUCACCCUGGUAGGAGGCCGUGGCUGAGCCGCCGUAGGAGGUGGCCGGCGUAGCCACCAGCGGGGGAGAGAUGGGGCAGGCCGCCCCUCCUCACGGACGCACCAGAACGAACGUCUCACAUGCGGCAUCGGUGGAGGAGACGUCCACCGUCUCGCACUCAGCAGCGGGAACAACAGAUGUGGCGGUCCUCGUUCGGCCUUAAUUCCAAGUCAUGCCUGGAGCUUUGGUCUGCAGCUACAUGUGAUUAGAAAGGAUAUCUUAGGAUAAAGGUAAGAUUGGAACCUGGAGGGGAUUAUAUCAUAUGCUUUGGCGUGUAAGAGUGUACAACUUUCUGUGACUUGGCCUGAAGUUCAGAUAUUUUGCAGUCAAUGUAUAUCCACAAAGUUCCUUUGUAGCUCACGCUACAUGGAACCUCUUAUCCUCAACCCUUUAGCCUUGCUUUGAGAUCCGUACUCUCCAACUAACUAACAACAACAAGAUUUUUCUUUUUUGUUUCUCUAAAAUGAAACAACAUAUGAACUUCAAACUUUGCAGAUCGAACAAACAUUAGAACAUCAAUGUGUGAAAAAAAAUUCAGAUUUUUUUGUCUGAUAUAAAUAUACAAAAUGAGAUUUUCUUUGAAUAAAAAUAUUAUUUCAAGUAUUUAAAAAGCAUGAAAAAAUCUGAAAGUUUUUCCCAGGUUGUAGUUAGUAUGUAUUGUUGUUCUGCAAAAUUUAAAGUUUAUAUGUUGUGUCGUUUGAGAGAAACAAAAAAGACAAAUGUGUGUGCACAGAUCGCGAUGCAUAAAUGGAUGGCAAAGAUAAGGGGUACCAUGUAGCCUGAGCUACAGAAAACCAUGUAUAUCUAAGGUAGAGUCUUCUUUUUUUCCUUCGGUUUGGGAUAGAGAGGGUAGAGUCUUAUUUUUUCCUUUCGGUUUGGGAUAGAGAGGGUUAUGUUUUUUCGAAAAAUAAGAUUUCGUUCUUCUGUUUCACCAUUGUUCAUGUUUAUACAGUUUUGAGAGGCACUUAACUUAAUUUUCCUUUUAAAUUGACUGAUUGUCAACAAAAGAGAUGAAAAUAAUAUUUCAAAUUGAUCAAAAAAUGUGGAAACACGAGAUUUUACAAAGUGAGCUCACACACAAUGUCAAUAAUUGAAAACGGAGUGGAAUGCAGAGUAAAGAGAAAGAUGUCGCUUUAGUAGAUGGCCUCUAAGGAGGCACGAGGAUUGCAUGUGAGGGAAGGAGAAGCGGACAUUACCAAAAAAAAGGAGAAGCGGACAUGAUCAAUUUGCUACUAUAUGAAUGGAGACCACAUGCCAUUAUGUUGACACACAAUUCUCAAUUAGAUAAAUUGUUUCAUUACUUUAUUUAAUUUCUAUUCUAUGGCAACGCAAUGGCAUUAAGCUAGGAAGGAGGAGCUCAUGGGAGCAAGAGAAUAUGAGAGGAAAGAUAAGUUUACUCAUAAUUCACAAAUAAAUUUUCUUUAUCUAAAUCUUGUAAUUGUUCCAUGUGUGAAUCUGUCUUACGUUAACAACUAUGAGAUUUUGUGCUUAAAAUUCAAAGUGUGGGCGUGAGCCGGAUGAGGUAUAAACGAAGGUGGCGAACAUUGUUGGGGGAGAUGAAGAUACGGGGUUGCGGAAGAAGACGAGUGUUCGACUAAUGGUAGAACAAAAUCAACUACGUUUCAUUAAAAAAAUGAUGACAUAUAUAUAUAUAUAUAUAUAUAUAUAUAUAUAUAUAUAUAUAUAUAUAUAUAUAUAUAUAUAUAUAUAUGCAUGUAAAUUCUAAAGGCGUACAUCUAUAUUGUCAAUUUUGUGUCCUUGUUGAAAGCACGGGCAGUUAACUAUUUUUCCUAAUGACCAUUUCUUGAAAAUCGCCUUAACUAUCCCAUCUUUAUUGACUUACGAAAUAAAUCAUAUUUUGUUUGGUAAGUCAAUAAGUGAUUAAAAUAUAAAAUUAUGGACUGGAUUUACAUUUAUUUACGGAAUCAUGUAAUAUGGACAGGUAAUUUGUGGGCUAAUGUAUAAAAAUAUUUAUACCCCGUAGCAACGCACGGGCAAAUUCCUAAUUUUAGGUUAAACAUACAGAUCGACGGCUGAGAUCCUCGUUACUUCGACAGCUCGUCGAACGCACGCGAUAAAAAAACAGCUAGCUAGAAAAAUCUGAAAAGCCCCGCACGCACACACCUCUCUGAUGCUAUCUGUUCGAAGCCUUGAACCCACACCGGACCCUGCAGCCCUCUUCCGGCCGCUACCUCUCUCACCCCACGUAUGCCGCUACCCAUAUGAGCUUGUCCAGGCUGCCACCAGCCAUACAUCGUGCGUCGCCGUCUCUUCCCCACGGUCCCCUUCUUCCCUCUCCGCCGCCUCUCUCGGAUCUUUGAGAAGCUCGACGUUGCCACGCCGGAGAACGCGCGCUGUGUCCCUCCGAAUCACGCCGGGGCCACAUCUUCUUCUUCAACUCCGACAUCGCGCCGCCGUGUCGCCGAUCUCUGCGAGCAAACCCUAGCCAAAUUUUCAUAUCCACCCUGAGAUCCUGACCUGCCCGCCUGCUGAUGCAGACGGAGGCGCGGGUGGGCGGUGUCGUUGUCGCCCGCCGGGGCGCCGGCCGCUAGAAUCAGGAACGUCGGCACCGCCACCAUGGCGCACCUCGCUGCUGACGGGAUCGCGCGGACGUCGUCAGCAAGACCUGCACCAGGCCCCCUCCCCUGCCUCACCAUACUCUUACAUGUUAUUGUUUCCUGCUCCCUGUUUCUCUCUUGCUUUCUUGUAUGACGGAUUGGGGAACUCAGUGCUGGAGAGGGAAAUUCUCAUAAAGAUUCGGGGGCUGAAAAAGUACGGGAUAAACCUUGGGGUUGUAUCAAACGAAGGAAUUGAAGUGUUUAUGUGAGUGGCUGACCCGUGGUGGAGGUGUGUGAGCAGCCCAUCCCCGGUCUGUGUGAUCAGCAUGUCCACGUCUCCCAAUCUGCCGGCUGCCACUUCUCAACACUGACCUCGAGAAUCCUCGGAUGGAUUUGCAGGCUAUGGAUGAAUGCCGCUCCAUUGGUCUAACACAGCCGGUUCAUGUUUAGCAUUUGGCAACAUAGAAUUUUGUCGACGUACGGCUUGGGCUUGGAAAUUUUGUCAACAUCAAUUUUGACAAUUUCGUGAUGAAGCACGAGCGGGUGCUAACCAUAAGUGAUCGGAAGCCUGCAGCAUGUGCAAUAUGUGGUCUUGUGUUACAGUUGAUCAGUCUACGUGGCCAUCAGAUUACAGUUUUGGAGGUUUGAUAGUGUGCUUGAGCGGGGAUACCAGACUUCCAAUCUUGAAUGGACAGGAACGUAUUGUCAAUUGGAUGUGCUCUGUGAAACUAAGACAAAGGUAUAUCUAAAAUACCAGUUAAAUGGAUGUCUAUCUAUAUAUGUUCUAUUUCUAAAGAAAAUGGUGCAAUCAUUUCUUUCCUAACUGAAAAUUCAAAGCUUAAUGUUCCAUCUUAUAGUAGUUUUGUGUGGGUUGUAAAUCACAUGAAUAUCUGUACAUUGGUGCAUCUACUAAAGAUAAUCAGGGAGUCGCUGGUUUUGGGACUAUUGGAAGUUCAAUGAAAAGAUGGAAUGGUGACCUGCAUCUUAUUGUUUGUUGACGAAAUAGCCCUUAUUCGACUAAAGAGAAAUUGGACUGAUAUCAUCAAGCUGGAAAAGUUUUUGUGUAGUCCCUUUGGUCAGAAUAUCAACGCUUAAAGAUGCUGAAGUUUUCUAGUUAACCUGAUGUAGGUACUUCAUUUUGUUAGUCAGAAUUAUCCAGGUAGUUGGUUAUGUAUGCAGACUGGGUAUUGCUGUUACAAGGCUCGAAACAAAUUGGAGACACAUGGUCUGCUGGAUUGGCGUUUGUAUAAUUAUGGGCAUGCAAAAUCACGGAUGGAUCUAGAUCCAGAUUAUGAUAA